UACGUAGGUGGCAAGCGUUGUCCGGAUUUACUGGGUGUAAAGGGCGCGUAGGCGGGCAUGCAAGUCAGAUGUGAAAUCUCCGGGCUCAACCCGGAAAUUGCAUUUGAAUCUGCGUGUCCUGAGCAUCGGAGAGGCAAGCGGAAUUCCCAGUGUAGCGGUGAAAUGCGUAGAUAUUGGGAGGAACACCAGUGGCGAAGGCGGCUUGCUGGACGACAACUGACGCUGAGGCGCGAAAGCGUGGGGAGCAAAC
rnacentral:rRNA from 1 species